GAAAAUGCAAACUGAAACCUGGGAAACAGUGCAGUCCAAGUCAAGGUCCUUGUUGUACAGCACAGUGUGCAUUCAAGUCAAAGUCUGAGAAGUGUCGGGAUGAUUCAGACUGUGCAAGGGAAGGAAUAUGUAAUGGCUUCACAGCUCUCUGCCCAGCGUCUGACCCUAAACCAAACUUCACAGACUGUAAUAGGCAUACACAAGUGUGCAUUAAUGGGGUAAGCAUUUAACUAUGUGUUUUUAAAUUUAAUUUUAGAAAACUUAUUUUUCAGAAGAAUUAUUGAUGCUUAAAGCUACAUAGUUAAAGUAAUUAAUCUUGGGCUCUGUUUAAGUAAUAUUCCCUCACAAAACCAUGAAUAUAUUAUGUGGCAUUCAAUUAGCUACUAAUUUGUCUUUCAUCUUUCCAUGUACUUGUGGUUGAUAUUCUCUAGAGAAACAUAGUUGUACAACUCGGCAUGUGACUUGUCUAUAAUAUUUAAGUUUUAUAAAAUAAUAUUUCAGUAGCCUAAAUAAAAGAACUCUUUGGUCAUCUUCUCUGAAUAUGAAACCUUCAAAGCUUUUGUGGCUGAAUAUCACUUUGCUUUACAUGAAGAAAAUUUAAUUUUUCUUUGUUUAUAGAAGAGCCAUAAUAACCAACAUAAAAUCGAUCCUCAUCUAAUCUCUUUCUCUGCUUUUAUUUCAUUUUUUUAAGUUGCCAUUGCUUUAAAAGAUUUAUUCUUUCUUGGGUUUACUGUUUUUCAGAUUUUGUCAAAUGUAUUUAUGUAAUUCCGUUCUGAUACUCAUCUCUGUUUGUUUUUCACUUUUACUUCCAUUUAAAUAUUUUGACAUUGGAAGCUCAUACUUGCCUGUCUGUUACUAUAAAAAAUAGGUUUGACUGUAUAGGGAUUAAAUAAUUUGUCUUUUAUUUUUCUUCUAGCAAUGUGCAGGUUCUAUCUGUGAGAAAUACGGCUUAGAGGAGUGUACGUGUGCCAGUUCUGAUGGCAAAGAUGAUAAAGAAUUAUGCCAUGUAUGCUGUAUGAAGAAAAGUAAGGCUUUUAAAAACACAGGAGUAUAAAAUCUGCCUCAAACUAUUAUUUUCUCUUAAAUUUUAAGUGUAAAACUUUGACCUACAGUUUGGCCAGAUAGUUUCCAGCUAAAUCUGUCCUCUUGAGGAGAUUAUAAAUGUAACAUAGCAUGUGUCUCUAUUAUUAUGGUCUCUACAAUGUUUUAAAAAUGAUAAACUAGACAAAACGUUACCAGCUUUACAGCAAUAAUUUACAUAAACACUGUUAGACUUUAAGUCGUUGUGGACACUGAAUCAAGACUUGCUGGUUGCUUGUUUACAUUGUAACAUUUAAUGUGAAUUACUAAUGGCGUUACCCAGCCUAACUAGAGAAGGUCUGUAUAACAUGUUAUGGUAAUGAUUUCAGACAGUUUUUUUUCCCUCUUUAUAUUUCCGCAACUGGAAAUCUGAUCUUCAACUUAUAUUUGAAUCUGAUCUUCAGCUUAUAUUUGGCAUUUCUUUUCCAGUGGACCCAUCAACUUGUGCCAGUACAGGGUCUGUGCAGUGGAGUAGGCACUUCAGUGGUCGAACCAUCACCCUGCAACCUGGAUCCCCUUGCAACGAUUUUAGAGGUUACUGUGAUGUUUUCAUGCGGUGCAGAUUAGUAGAUGCUGAUGGUCCUCUAGCUAGGCUUAAAAAAGCAAUUUUUAGUCCAGAGCUCUAUGAAAACAUUGCUGAAUGGAUUGUGGCUCAUUGGUGGGCAGUAUUACUUAUGGGAAUUGCUCUGAUCAUGCUAAUGGCUGGAUUUAUUAAGAUAUGCAGUGUUCAUACUCCAAGUAGUAAUCCAAAGUUGCCUCCUCCUAAACCACUUCCAGGCACUUUAAAGAGGAGGAGACCUCCACAGCCCAUUCAGCAACCCCAGCGUCAGCGGCCCCGAGAGAGUUAUCAAAUGGGACACAUGAGACGCUAACUGCAGCUUUUGCCUUGGUUCUUCCUAGUGCCUACAAUGGGAAAACUUCACUCCAAAGAGAAACCUAUUAAGUCAUCAUCUCCAAACUAAACCCUCACAAGUAACAGUUGAAGAAAAAAUGGCAAGAGAUUAUAUCCUCAGACCAGGUGGAAUUACUUAAAUUUUAAAGCCUGAAAAUUCCAAUUUGGGGGUGGGAGGUGGAAAAGGAACCCAGUUUUCUUAUGAACAGAUAUUUUUAACUUAAUGGCACAAAGUCUUAGAAUAUUAUUAUGUGCCCCGUGUUCCCUGUUCUUCGUUGCUGCAUUUUCUUCACUUGCAGGCAAACUUGGCUCUCGAUAAACUUUUACCACAAAUUGAAAUAAAUAUAUUUUUUUCAACUGCC
rnacentral:sRNA from 1 species